UUUCAAAAUUAUAAACAUUAAUAUCUAAAAUUAUUACUUGAUCAGACAAAUUUCAUUCUAGUUCCCUUGAUCUGAGGAUUGGUAGUAUAGAACGGAUGAAGGAUGAUGUUGUGGGACGGAUGAGGGAUGAGAUGGAAGCUCUUUUAUCUGAAGAGAGUUCUGGGGAGGAGGAGGAGGAGGAUGAAGAUGAACGGGAUGAUUAUCAAAAUGAAAACCUGGAUAUUUUCUUCAUCCUGAAGUCAAGAUUAAGAAGUCAGGAUUAAGCCUUAAGCUCCAUCAAAUGCAGUCCUACAGAUGAAUUCAAUUCAUCUUCGAUAUCCCGCGGUGUUCAUACCCUGCAGGGAUAAAUUUAUCCUCAAAUUUAGAAGUGCCCAAAUUGGAUAUUGUGAUCGAUCAAGUGUUAAAAGAUUCUACAAAGUUUCAACUUCUGAUCCUACUUUAUUCAUUUGAAGAAGAUGAAACCUACCUUAUGCCUGAAACUGUCCAAAACUAAAACUUUACUACUUAAUAAGAGGAUGCACAAGUGUGACAAACAUUGCACAUAUCAGUUUUAUAAAAAAGAAAUCCUGCAACAUUUAGAUAAUUUUUCUAUUUUUUGGAGGGCAAAUUUAAAGCCAUAGCAAAUUCAUGGGCAUAUACAGUGGCUUCAUUUGUUUUAUUAUCAUGGCUCGAUACAUACAUACAUGACACAUGUGUCCCUGCAUUUUUGCAGUGAGAACCAGAAAUCUGUGAAAUAGGAAGACGACUUUUAGACUCAAGUUAUGAUUUUAAAUAGUUCAAUGAACAUGAAGCACAACAAUGUUAAUUUUAUACUACUGAAAGUAAAACCAUUUAUAAUGUAAAAACAUCAAAUAAACUUAAAUAUUGUUUUAAUGUCGUCUUCCUAGUCCAAUGAUUAUCUGGUUUUCCCUUUAUUGAAUUGUAUUUUUAAUCCUUU